rnacentral:lncRNA from 1 species
AGGUCCUCAGAGGGGAAAGAAUGGAGACAUCGGAUGCCAAAAAUGACCGCACUGUUUUACCUCCAUUUGCCCAGAGAGUCCUUCAAGGGAUUCUACCCUAGGAAUUGAACCCAGGAAGGCUCCGCCAUUGAGAAACACUCAUACAUGCGUGACGGUGACCCUGAAGAACUUGCUCUGAGAGACUCAGGCUAAAGCGUUUCAAGGCCAGGUUCACACAAUGAAUCAGAUAGAGAGGCUGGGAAAGCCACUGAUGUGGGCUUAGUUCAUAAAUACAAUACCUGGAAAUCAUUUAAA